UACAGAGGUGGCAAGCGUUGUUCGGAAUUACUGGGCGUAAAGGGCGCGUAGGCGGCCUUGUAAGUCCUGUGUGAAAUCCCCCGGCUCAACUGGGGAACUGCACAGGAGACUGCUUGGCUUGAGUUCGGGAGAGGGAAGCGGAAUUCCGGGUGUAGCGGUGAAAUGCGUAGAUAUCCGGAGGAACACCGGUGGCGAAAGCGCUCUGCUGGACCUUAACUGACACUGAGGGACGAAAGCUAGGGGAGCGAAUGGG
rnacentral:rRNA from 1 species